UGUGACUGAGCGGCGGACGGGUGAGUAACGCGUGGGCAACCUGCCUUACACAGGGGGAUAACAGUUAGAAAUGACUGCUAAUACCGCAUAAGACCCCGGGACCGCAUGGUUCCGAGGUAAAAACUCCGGUGGUGUAAGAUGGGCCCGCGUCUGAUUAGGUAGUUGGCGGGGUAACGGCCCACCAAGCCGACGAUCAGUAGCCGACCUGAGAGGGUGACCGGCCACAUUGGGACUGAGACACGGCCCAGACUCCUACGGAAGGCAGCAG
rnacentral:rRNA from 1 species